rnacentral:rRNA from 1 species
GAUGAACGCUGGCGGCGUGCCUAAUACAUGCAAGUCGAGCGAACAGACGAGGAGCUUGCUCCUCUGACGUUAGCGGCGGACGGGUGAGUAACACGUGGAUAACCUACCUAUAAGACUGGGAUAACUUCGGGAAACCGGAGCUAAUACCGGAUAAUAUAUUGAACCGCAUGGUUCAAUAGUGAAAGACGGUUUUGCUGUCACUUAUAGAUGGAUUCGCGCCGCAUUAGCUAGUUGGUAAGGUAACGGCCUACCAAGGCAACGAUGCGUAGCCGACCUGAGAGGGUGAUCGGCCACACUGGAACUGAGACACGGUCCAGACUCCUACGGGAGGCAGCAGUAGGGAAUCUUCCGCAAUGGGCGAAAGCCUGACGGAGCAACGCCGCGUGAGUGAUGAAGGUCUUCGGAUCGUAAAACUCUGUUAUUAGGGAAGAACAAAUGUGGAAGUAACUAUGCACGUCUUGACGGUACCUAAUCAGAAAGCCACGGCUAACUACGUG